UCGAGUGCAUGCAAAAAAUUAUGUUAAUAUGAAAGAACACAUAGAGGAUAUUUGACCAUUAGUGUAAAGAAGUAUCGGAAGUUAGCAGAUUGGGGUUGUUUAAGAUUUCUGUAAUAUUUGGAGAUCUACUAGCUGGAAUAAGGUGACUUUGCAUUGUCGUACUGUAAAUGCUUAUAGUAUAUAAAAAUUAGUUAAAACAUAUUAUAU
rnacentral:lncRNA from 1 species